rnacentral:ncRNA from 1 species
AUCUCCGUGGCUACUACCGAUUGAAUGGUUUAGUGAAGUUGUUGAAUUGGUUUCGUUGUAGUGGCUUUGUCACUCAACUUAUGCUAAGAAGAUGACCUAAUUUGACUAUUUAGGUGAAGUAAAAGUUGUAACAAGGUUUCUGUAGAUGAACCUGUGGAAG